AGGUGUGUUUACCAAAGAGCCCAUUGAGUCGUCCACCUUCGUCCUCGAGUUUCGGGGGGACAUCUGUCGUCGCGACGACACCCCCGAGGAGGAAUGUGGAGAUACUUUGAACAAUUUAGUGUUUGAUUUUUCAUGGAACGGAACAAACUGGCGCCUUGAUGCUUCAGCAGAGGACGGGGGUUUGGGCAGAGUAGUUAACGAAGAUCACAGGAACCCAAACUGCGAAGUGAUGAAGGUUAAUUACAAGGGGAAACCUCACCUGUGCCUGUUUGCACAAAAGAAAAUAUCUCCAGGAGAGGAAAUAACCUUCAGCUACGGGAGCUCAUCGAGGCGCUCAGAGGAACCCAGUGAAGACGUGACC